CACUCUGGUUUCCCUUCAACACGUAUAAAUCUUUCGCCUUUUACUAAAGAUUUCCGUGGAGGGGAACACUCAAAUCGCACACCUAGAUCUAAACUGAGACAACUCAAAAAUUGUCAA